rnacentral:misc_RNA from 1 species
AAUUGUAGUAAAUUUCAAAGUUCAAGGAAUAUUUAUCUAAAAAUAGUUUAGGGCGCAAUUGUAAAAAAUGGUAAAGUUUGAGGUUUUUUUUGCAUUUUUACUGUUAAAAUUAACGAUGGAAUAGACGGCAGGGUGCAAUUAUAAAAAAGUUUAAAAUUUAGGAUAUUUUUAUUAAAAAAAAUUUUGAGGUCAAAUGGCAAAAAACCCUCAAACUUCAUAAUCUUUUUUAGAUAUUAUCCCUAAAAUUAAUUUGAUUAUAUUUUUUGGAUUCAGAAUCUAAAUCAAAUUAUGCAAUCAUAUAACACGAGAGGGAAAGAAAUUGACCUCUUUGUCCAAAUAUUGGUCCUCUGGUGGUCCCAUGCUUUGAAGUUUGAGCAGUAGACAAUCCAUUAAUGAGCUCUGAUCCAAAUUAAUGCAUUUGCUAAGAUCCAAAUCCCAAAAGGAAGUCAUAUAUCGUAGUAUGAAUGAGCUCGAUAUAAACCUCAGCGAUGUGCAGUUUUGUGCUUCUAACCAUUUUAGAGAUGAUGGAAGCUCUGGCAAAAAUUGAAGCCUCUUGCAAUCUCUUAAAUCAAGUGACGUCAACA